CCUGCCACUGCCUGUCUUGUAAUGAAGUGGCUGGUACAAUCCAGUAGUGAGCUGAUAAAAACAUACCAGCUUAGGAAACAGGAUUAUUCUUUCUGUGGGUAACUCUGUGCCAAAGUCUGGAGACAGAU
rnacentral:snoRNA from 1 species